rnacentral:rRNA from 1 species
UUGGAGGGCAAGUCUGGUGCCAGCAGCCGCGGUAAUUCCAGCUCCAAUAGCGUAUAUUAAAGUUGUUGCAGUUAAAAAGCUCGUAGUUGAAUUUCGGGAUUAAUUUAUUGGUCGUGCUAUUGUACGUACUGGUAUUAUUGAUUCCUACCUUCUGACGAACCACGAUGUCAUUAAUUUGGUGUCAUGGGGAAUCAGGACUGUUACUUUGAAAAAAUUAGAGUGUUUAAAGCAGGCUCACGCUUGAAUACAUUAGCAUGGAAUAACGAAAUAGGACGUUUGAUUCUAUUUUGUUGGUUUCUAGGAUCGACGUAAUGAUUAAUAGGGAUAGUUGGGGGCAUUAGUAUUCAAUUGUCAGAGGUGAAAUUCUUGGAUUUAUUGAAGACUAACUACUGCGAAAGCAUUUGCCAAGGAUGUUUUCAUUAAUCAAGAACGAAAGUUAGGGGAUCGAAGACGAUCAGAUACCGUCGUAGUCUUAACCAUAAACUAUGCCGACUAGGGAUCGGAUGAUGUUAAUUUUUUAAUGACUCAUUCGGCGCCAC